rnacentral:rRNA from 1 species
CGCGCGAUACAGGGUGACAGCCCCGUACACAAAAGCGCAUGUGUUGUGAGCUCGAUGAGUAGGGCGGGACACGUGGUAUCCUGUCUGAAUAUGGGGGGACCAUCCUCCAAGGCUAAAUACUCCUGACUGACCGAUAGUGAACCAGUACCGUGAGGGAAAGGCGAAAAGAACCCCGGCGAGGGGAGUGAAAAAGAACCUGAAACCGUGUACGUACAAGCAGUGGGAGCACAGGUUUACCUGUGUGACUGCGUACCUUUUGUAUAAUGGGUCAGCGACUUAUAUUCUGUAGCAAGGUUAACCGUAUAGGGGAGCCGGAGGGAAACCGAGUCUUAAUUGGGCGUUAAGUUGCAGGGUAUAGACCCGAAACCCGGUGAUCUAGCCAUGGGCAGGUUGAAGGUUGGGUAACACUAACUGGAGGACCGAACCGACUAAUGUUGAAAAAUUAGCGGAUGACCUGUGGCUGGGGGUGAAAGGCCAAUCAAACCGGGAGAUAGCUGGUUCUCCCCGAAAGCUAUUUAGGUAGCGCCUCGUGAAUUCAUCUCCGGGGGUAGAGCACUGUUUCGGCUAGGGGGCCAUCCCGGCUUACCAACCCGAUGCAAACUGCGAAUACCGGAGAAUGUUAUCACGGGAGACACACGGCGGGUGCUAACGUCCGUCGUGAAGAGGGAAACAACCCAGACCGCCAGCUAAGGUCCCAAAGUCAUGGUUAAGUGGGAAACGAUGUGGGAAGGCCCAGACAGCCAGGAUGUUGGCUUAGAAGCAGCCAUCAUUUAAAGAAAGCGUAAUAGCUCACUGGUCGAGUCGGCCUGCGCGGAAGAUGUAACGGGGCUAAACCAUGCACCGAAGCUGCGGCAGCGACACUGUGUGUUGUUGGGUAGGGGAGCGUUCUGUAAGCCUGUGAAGGUGUGUCGUGAGGCAUGCUGGAGGUAUCAGAAGUGCGAAUGCUGACAUAAGUAACGAUAAAGCGGGUGAAAAGCCCGCUCGCCGGAAGACCAAGGGUUCCUGUCCAACGUUAAUCGGGGCAGGGUGAGUCGACCCCUAAGGCGAGGCCGAAAGGCGUAGUCGAUGGGAAACGGGUUAAUAUUCCCGUACUUGGUGUUACUGCGAAGGGGGGACGGAGAAGGCUAUGUUGGCCGGGCGACGGUUGUCCCGGUUUAAGCGUGUAGGUGUGUGUUCCAGGUAAAUCCGGUUCACUUUAACACUGAGGCGUGACGACGAGGCACUACGGUGCUGAAGCAACAAAUGCCCUGCUUCCAGGAAAAGCCUCUAAGCAUCAGGUAACAUCAAAUCGUACCCCAAACCGACACAGGUGGUCAGGUAGAGAAUACCAAGGCGCUUGAGAGAACUCGGGUGAAGGAACUAGGCAAAAUGGUGCCGUAACUUCGGGAGAAGGCACGCUGACACGUAGGUGAAGUGAUUUACUCAUGGAGCUGAAGUCAGUCGAAGAUACCAGCUGGCUGCAACUGUUUAUUAAAAACACAGCACUGUGCAAACACGAAAGUGGACGUAUACGGUGUGACGCCUGCCCGGUGCCGGAAGGUUAAUUGAUGGGGUCAGCGCAAGCGAAGCUCCUGAUCGAAGCCCCGGUAAACGGCGGCCGUAACUAUAACGGUCCUAAGGUAGCGAAAUUCCUUGUCGGGUAAGUUCCGACCUGCACGAAUGGCGUAAUGAUGGCCAGGCUGUCUCCACCCGAGACUCAGUGAAAUUGAACUCGCUGUGAAGAUGCAGUGUACCCGCGGCAAGACGGAAAGACCCCGUGAACCUUUACUAUAGCUUGACACUGAACAUUGAGCCUUGAUGUGUAG